rnacentral:rRNA from 1 species
AUUGAACGCCGGCGGCAUGCCUUACACAUGCAAGUCGAACGGUAACGCGGGGCAACCUGGCGACGAGUGGCGAACGGGUGAGUAAUGUAUCGGAACGUGCCCAGUUGUGGGGGAUAACUGCUCGAAAGAGCAGCUAAUACCGCAUACGACCUGAGGGUGGAAGCGGGGGAUCGCAAGACCUCGCGCAAUUGGAGCGGCAGAUAUCAGAUUAGGUAGUUGGUGGGGUAAAGGCCCGCCAAGCCAACGAUCUGUAGCUGGUCUGAGAGGACGACCAGCCACACUGGGACUGAGACACGGCCCAGACUCCUACGGGAGGCAGCAGUGGGGAAUUUUGGACAAUGGACGCAAGUCUGAUCCAGCCAUGCCGCGUGCGGGAAGAAGGCCUUCGGGUUGUAAACCGCUUUUGUCAGGGAAGAAACGCUCUGGGUUAAUACCUCGGGGUAAUGACGGUACCUGAAGAAUAAGCACCGGCUAACUACGUGCCAGCAGCCGCAGUAACAC